rnacentral:ncRNA from 1 species
CCGGCGGAAUCCGAAAAGCCAUUAAAAGAGUAGGAA